rnacentral:rRNA from 1 species
AUUCAUACUGAUAAUGGCCGUGAAUUUAAUAACAAGGCGUUUCGUAAUUUUCUCACUAAUCACGGCAUUGUCUUCCAUCUCACUUGCCCCUACACAUCUCAACAGAAUGGUCGUGCCGAGCGGAUCAUACGGACUUUAACUGAAGGCCUUCACAGUCUCCUGUUUCAUUCCUCUAUGCCCACGAAAUUUUGGCCAGACGCCCUAGCCACCACGACCUACCUCUUAAACCUACGUCCAUGCCGGCCACGUCAACACAUCACGCCAUUUGAGCUCCUAUACGGCAAGACCCCCUCCUACUCCCACCUUUGUGUGUUUGGCAGCCUCUGUUAUCCUAACACUACAGCUACAGCCCCCAACAAGCUUUCCCCUCGCUCACGUGCAUGUGUGUUCCUGGGCUACCCUCCCGACCACGCUAGAUACAAGUGCUUUGAUCCACAUACCGGCCGGAUAAUCAUCUCCCGUCACGUCUUCUUCGACAAACGCCAGUUUCCGUUU